rnacentral:rRNA from 1 species
UACGUAGGGCGCAAGCGUUGUUCGGAUUCAUUGGGCGUAAAGGGUGCGUAGGUGGCGCUGUAAGUCGGGUGUGAAAUUUCGGAGCUUAACUCCGAAACUGCAUUCGAUACUGCGGUGCUUGAGGACUGGAGAGGAGACUGGAAUUCAUGGUGUAGCAGUGAAAUGCGUAGAGAUCAUGAGGAAGACCAGUGGCGAAGGCGGGUCUCUGGACAGUUCCUGACACUGAGGCACGAAGGCCAGGGGAGCAAACGGG